CCAACGUUGAAAACUAUCUAAUUAAUUUGGUAUGAAAGCAGAACAUGGAAACAACAUUUAACUUGACGUAUGGAACUGUACUGAAAUUAAUUAACAUUGACUAAAGACAGAUGGAGAUGUAAAAGCGAAUUACUCUUUAAUAAAAAAAGGGAGGCUGUGGUUGUUGAAGUGGGGACGCAGUCGCAGAGACAAAGGGAUUAAAGACUGGGAGGAGCUAGCAGAGAACUGAGAGCUCGGGCUCAGCGGUCCUAGUACGUUGGUGCACCCUUUUCUCACCUGUCCGAAUCAUUGCCAGGCUUUUUCCCGACCCAACUUCCAUCUUGUCCCUAACUUCCACUCUUCCUCAAGACAAGCCCCAAUUUCUUCUGUCUCCUUCUCCUCCUUCCACUUGCAUAUAUGUGUGCUUCACAGUUUCAAACAAAAACUCCAUUGGCUUUACCUUUCAAGCCACCAUUUCUACUGCUUUUGUUCAUAUUUUUAUUGCUUUCAGCUCUGAGUUUGUGUUUUUGUAUGCUUAGUUUAUGGAGCUUCAACUAGGUCUUUCCCUCUCAACCACCCACAAUCCUAUUGAUGGAUCGGACAUAAACAACAAAGAGUUCGACCCAAAAGAGAUUCUGAGCUUGAAACCAUGGAGCCAUGAUUAUGGUUGUUUAUUGGACAAGAAACGUAGCUUUGAAGACGCCUUUGGAAAGUUGAAAGAUGCAUCACAAACUUUGCCUUUGCUUUUAUGGAGUGGCCAUCCUAAUGACGAAGAUGAUGACAAGAGAGAAAAGAAGAGGCUCUCUUGCCGCCUUAGCAAAAUUCAUGAAGAGGUACUGGAGGAAGAUGAUCUUGUGGUAGGUUGGCCACCCAUUAAAUCAUGGAGGAAGAAAAUGCUUCGCCAGCGACAAGUUGGUGACCGGAUUGUCAAGAAUCGGGUGGCUGCUGCUGCUGGUGGUUCAGAAAAUAAUGGUGGUUCAAAUUCCAUGUAUGUGAAGGUGAAGAUGGAAGGAGUGGCAAUAGCAAGGAAGGUUGAUCUUAGGCUUUUCCACUCAUAUCAGACACUUACAAGCUCCUUGAUCAGCAUGUUUGACAAAUGCCUGCAACUUGAGAAAGAUAAUGCAAAUUACACGUUGGCAUACCAAGACAAAGAUGGUGAUUGGCUACUUGCAGGAGAUGUUCCAUGGCAGACUUUCAUAGUAUCUGUUCAGCGUCUGGAGUUGCUAAAAAAUGGAGGUUGAAGUGAUUGAGAGUUGCAGUCAUCAAUUACAUUAUAUGCCUUCUUUUGUAGUGCAACAGAACUGCUAUGGAAUUUGCUUGAUGAAUAAAUUAAAUAAUUAUAGAAAAUGAGUGAAGCAGUGCUUAAACUAGUCCUAUGGAAUGUAAUUUGAGUAACUUGUAGUCUUUCUUGUGCCACUUAUGGUUAUUAAUCAAGCUAUAUUACUCUUCACCAG
rnacentral:misc_RNA from 1 species